rnacentral:sRNA from 1 species
UUCGACCCGAGCGAAGCGAGAAAACGUUGCGUCAGCAACGGCCCGCAGGGCGAGCCACGCAGUGGCGAGUCAUCCUCUAUCACCGACCA